UUGCCUCAGUAACGGCGAGUGAAGCGGCAAGAGCUCAAAUUUGAAAUCUGGCCCCUUUGGGGUCCGAGUUGUAAUUUGCAGAGGAUGCUUCGGGAGCGGUCCCCAUCUAAGUGCCCUGGAACGGGACGUCAUAGAGGGUGAGAAUCCCGUAUGGGAUGGGUGGCCGCGCCCGUGUGAAGCGCCUUCGACGAGUCGAGUUGUUUGGGAAUGCAGCUCUAAGCGGGUGGUAAAUUUCAUCUAAAGCUAAAUACUGGCCGGAGACCGAUAGCGCACAAGUAGAGUGAUCGAAAGAUGAAAAGCACUUUGAAAAGAGAGUUAAAUAGCACGUGAAAUUGUUGAAAGGGAAGCGUUGUCCACCAGACUCGCCCGGGAGGGUUCAGCCGGCACUUGUGCCGGUGUACUCCCUUUCGGGCGGGCCAGCAUCGGUUUGGGCGGCCGCUAAAAGGCCUCGGGAAUGUAGCACCCUCCGGGGUGCCUUAUAGCCCGGGGUGACAUGCGACCUGCCUGGACCGAGGUUCGCGCUUCGGCGAGGAUGCUGGCGUAAUGGUGGUCAACGGCCCGUCUUGAAACACGGACCAAGGAGUCUAACAUCUAUGCGAGUGUUCGGGUGUCAAACCCGUCCGCGCAGUGAAAGCGAACGGAGGUGGGAACCCUUUUGGGUGCACCAUCGACCGAUCCUGAAGUCUUCGGAUGGAUUUGAGUAAGAGCAUAGCUGUUGGGACCCGAAAGAUGGUGAACUAUGCCUGAAUAGGGCGAAGCCAGAGGAAACUCUGGUGGAGGCUCGCAGCGGUUCUGACGUGCAAAUCGAUCGUCAAAUUUGGGUAUAGGGGCGAAAGACUAAUCGAACCAUCUGGUAGCUGGUUC
rnacentral:rRNA from 1 species